ACACAUUUGCGAUCGCACGUCGCAUAUUGGACUUAUUUUGACAAUUUCGACUGUUAUUGAGACUAUUUAAAUUGGAUUUCAUCCUAAAUAGUGUAUUCCUGACAUGGAGUCAAGUUUAAGCAAAUAUUUGCGGUUUGAUAGCUCGAGAGAUUCAAAGAUAUUCUAUUACUGAGUGCUUGACCAAGUAUAAUAUGUCUAUAUAUUAUUUCAAGCAACAUGAUUUCUCAAUUUUGACCGAUGCAUUCGCAUCGUUGGCAUCGGUCUGGAAUCCCCGCUGGGGAGGGGGCAAAAAGUUACCAUUACCAUUGAGGGGGGAUGAAAAAAAUUUUUCAAUCCCUAUUUUCACCAUUUGCCAAGCACUACCCACUUCUUCAUAAAUAAUGACCACUCCCUACAUUAUGAGAUCAUGCUUAUAAGGUAGUUAUGUUGAAUAUGCUUUAUUUAAUAUUUAGUGCCUGGCCUUUUUCAAGUGUUUGUCAAAGCAUGCACACUGUUUAAAAGUUGCUAUUGUGCAUUAAAAUUACAUGGUCAUGGUUGUAGGUAACAGUAUAGAAUGUUUUUUAAAAGAAUGUUAAAAUGUUAUGUAAAAUGAACAGAAACUUGCAUUUAUUUUCUUAGGGGCCAUUCACAAAGCAUGUCCAAGCC